GACGAACGCUGGCGGCGUGCUUAACACAUGCAAGUCGAACGGAAAGGCCCUGCUUGCAGGGUACUCGAGUGGCGAACGGGUGAGUAACACGUGGGUGAUCUGCCCUGCACUUCGGGAUAAGCCUGGGAAACUGGGUCUAAUACCGGAUAGGAGCCAUUUUUAGUGUGAUGGUUGGAAAGUUUUUUCGGUGUAGGAUGAGCUCGCGGCCUAUCAGCUUGUUGGUGGGGUAAUGGCCUACCAAGGCGGCGACGGGUAGCCGGCCUGAGAGGGUGGACAGCCACAUUGGGACUGGGAUACGGCCCAGACUCCUACGGGAGGCAGCAGUGGGGAAUAUUGCACAAUGGGAGCAAGCCUGAUGCAGCGACGCCGCGUGGGGGAUGACGGCCUUCGGGUUGUAAACUCCUUUCGCUAGGGACGAAGCUUUUUGUGACGGUACCUAGAGAAGAAGCACCGGCUAACUACGUG
rnacentral:rRNA from 1 species